ACCUACUAAAUAAGAUAUACUAAACGUGACAAAGUGGAUAUGUAAUAAAAUACACUAAAAUUUGAAUGAAAUCAUACGAAUUUAUUUCUUAUCGAAGUAAGUAAAAUAUAUUUAACAAUAAGAUAUAAUAAGUACAAGAAUGUUAGCAUCCUAUUUAUUGCACUGAGAAAUUAUAAAAUAAUCUGCAAAUAAACCACAAGUGUUGGUUACACUUACAUUAGUUGAGAGAUAUCAUGUAAAGUACGGCCAACGAGAAGCGAUACCAAAUGUAAACAAACCCAAUGUCAUGGUCAUUAGAAAUAGCAGAGGUGCAUAACUUUUUAAUAGUUUGAUUACAUAUUUUUGUAGGCAAUAUAGUUUUAAAAAAUAUCUGGCAAAUCAUAAAAAUAGAUGUUUUAUUGAAUUUUGUUUUUGUUAUAAUUUGAAUUAUUGUAUAAUGUAGAUUUAAAUUAAAUAACGAGAAUAAUAAUAACAUUUCUGCCUGACAAUGUGCCCGGUGUAUGGCAACAGGCCUACCCCUUUUUUUAGAGACAUAAAUAUAUCGGAAUAAUAAAAUAAGAACCGACAAGAAGUAACAGAUUCGCCCUCGUGAAUUGCAACAACUAUGUAUUCUAAAAUUUAUGUCCGAAUAUUGACGAACCCGUCUGACUUUGACAUAUUUUAGCGGGAGAACGAGACAUUACGACAAAUACAUAAGAUGGGAAGAGACAGAAUCGACCUUUCGUAUCGCUGCUAGUUGGCCGUACUUUAGUAAUAAAUCAUGCUAAAACAAUUGAAAAUCGAAAAAACAAAACAACAUCGGACAAAAAAGGGAAGAUUAAAAAUCAAUAAAAUGUAACUGGUAAGCUGUCUAUCUUAUAAGCUUACCGGUCUCUGGGAUAGAUAACGAUUAAAAUUAAACAUUAUCUGGUGUAUAGCCCCAUCUACUAUGAGACAAAGGUUGGUUUUUACCGGCAACGAUGAUUAUAAUGUCACUCUUAUGGUGGUAGGUAAAGUAAAAAUAUUAAAAAAAUGUUUCUUUUAAUUAACGUAAUAAAUAUUUAUUUUACAUACGAGUAUAGUUAAGCAUAGGCUACAGGAAAGUAACGCCUCACAGUGGCUACUAAAAUAUAUUGAACACUGGUUUAACAAAGAAGAAUCAUUUUGAUGUAUUCAAGUGCAUUGCUUUUUACUGCAUUGGUGUGUUUACAUUGCACGGGACUGUUAAAAAUAUCACAUAAAAUGAAUAAGGCUUGC